rnacentral:rRNA from 1 species
GCUGGAAUCGCUAGUAAUCGCGAAUCAGAAUGUCGCGGUGAAUACGUUCCCGGGUCUUGUACACACCGCCCGUCACACCAUGGGAGGUCGGAAAUGCCCGAAGUCAGUGACCUAACCGAAAGGGAGGAGCUGCCGAAGGUGGAGCCGGUAACUGGGGUGAAGUCGUAACAAGGUAAC